rnacentral:rRNA from 1 species
CGAUGAUGCCCAGCUUGCUGGGUGGAUUAGUGGCGAACGGGUGAGUAACACGUGAGUAACCUGCCCCUGACUCUGGGAUAAGCGUUGGAAACGACGUCUAAUACUGGAUAUGAUCACUGGCCGCAUGGUCUGGUGGUGGAAAGAUUUUUUGGUUGGGGAUGGACUCGCGGCCUAUCAGCUUGUUGGUGAGGUAAUGGCUCACCAAGGCGACGACGGGUAGCCGGCCUGAGAGGGUGACCGGCCACACUGGGACUGAGACACGGCCCAGACUCCUACGGGAGGCAGCAGUGGGGAAUAUUGCACAAUGGGCGAAAGCCUGAUGCAGCAACGCCGCGUGAGGGAUGACGGCCUUCGGGUUGUAAACCUCUUUUAGUAGGGAAGAAGCGAAAGUGACGGUACCUGCAGAAAAAGCACCGGCUAACUACGUGCCAGCAGCCGCGGUAAUACGUAGGGUGCAAGCGUUGUCCGGAAUUAUUGGGCGUAAAGAGCUCGUAGGCGGUUUGUCGCGUCUGCUGUGAAAUCCCGAGGCUCAACCUCGGGCUUGCAGUGGGUACGGGCAGACUAGAGUGCGGUAGGGGAGAUUGGAAUUCCUGGUGUAGCGGUGGAAUGCGCAGAUAUCAGGAGGAACACCGAUGGCGAAGGCAGAUCUCUGGGCCGUAACUGACGCUGAGGAGCGAAAGCAUGGGGAGCGAACAGGAUUAGAUACCCUGGUAGUCCAUGCCGUAAACGUUGGGCGCUAGAUGUA